UACGUAGGGUGCAAGCGUUUAUCCGGAAUUAUUGGGCGUAAAGAGCUCGUAGGCGGUUUGUCGCGUCUGCUGUGAAAACCCGAGGCUCAACCUCGGGCCUGCAGUGGGUACGGGCAGACUAGAGUGCGGUAGGGGAGAUUGGAAUUCCUGGUGUAGCGGUGAAAUGCGCAGAUAUCAGGAGGAACACCGGUGGCGAAGGCGGGUCUCUGGGCCGAUACUGACGCUGAGGAGCGAAAGCGUGGGGGAGCGAACAGG
rnacentral:rRNA from 1 species